rnacentral:rRNA from 1 species
AUGAACGCUAGCGGCAGGCCUAACACAUGCAAGUCGAGGGGCAUCACGAGGUAGCAAUACUUUGGUGGCGACCGGCGCACGGGUGCGUAACGCGUAUGUAACCUACCUAUAACAGGGGCAUAACACUGAGAAAUUGGUACUAAUUCCCCAUAAUAUUCGGAGAGGCAUCUCUCCGGGUUGAAAACUCCGGUGGUUAUAGAUGGACAUGCGUUGUAUUAGCUAGUUGGUGAGGUAACGGCUCACCAAGGCAACGAUACAUAGGGGGACUGAGAGGUUAACCCCCCACACUGGUACUGAGACACGGACCAGACUCCUACGGGAGGCAGCAGUGAGGAAUAUUGGUCAAUGGACGCAAGUCUGAACCAGCCAUGCCGCGUGCAGGAAGACGGCUCUAUGAGUUGUAAACUGCUUUUGUACGAGGGUAAACUCACCUACGUGUAGGUGACUGAAAGUAUCGUACGAAUAAGGAUCGGCUAACUCCGUGCCAGCAGCCGCGGUAAUACGGAGGAUUCAAGCGUUAUCCGGAUUUAUUGGGUUUAAAGGGUGCGUAGGCGGUUUGAUAAGUUAGAGGUGAAAUCCCGGGGCUUAACUCCGGAACUGCCUCUAAUACUGUUAGACUAGAGAGUAGUUGCGGUAGGCGGAAUGUAUGGUGUAGCGGUGAAAUGCUUAGAGAUCAUACAGAACACCGAUUGCGAAGGCAGCUUACCAAACUAUAUCUGACGUUGAGGCACGAAAGCGUGGGGAGCAAACAGGAUUAGAUACCCUGGUAGUCCACGCAGUAAACGAUGAUAACUCGUUGUCGGCGAUACACAGUCGGUGACUAAGCGAAAGCGAUAAGUUAUCCACCUGGGGAGUACGUUCGCAAGAAUGAAACUCAAAGGAAUUGACGGGGGCCCGCACAAGCGGAGGAACAUGUGGUUUAAUUCGAUGAUACGCGAGGAACCUUACCCGGGCUUAAAUUGCACUCGAAUGAUCCGGAAACGGUUCAGCUAGCAAUAGCGAGUGUGAAGGUGCUGCAUGGUUGUCGUCAGCUCGUGCCGUGAGGUGUCGGGUUAAGUCCCAUAACGAGCGCAACCCCUACCGUUAGUUGCCAUCAGGUCAAGCUGGGCACUCUGGCGGGACUGCCGGUGUAAGCCGAGAGGAAGGUGGGGAUGACGUCAAAUCAGCACGGCCCUUACGUCCGGGGCUACACACGUGUUACAAUGGUAGGUACAGAGGGUCGCUACUCCGUGAGGAGAUGCCAAUCUCGAAAGCCUAUCUCAGUUCGGAUUGGAGGCUGAAACCCGCCUCCAUGAAGUUGGAUUCGCUAGUAAUCGCGCAUCAGCCAUGGCGCGGUGAAUACGUUCCCGGGCCUUGUACACACCGCCCGUCAAGCCAUGGAAGCUGGGGGUGCCUGAAGUUCGUGACCGCAAGGAGCGACCUAGGGCAAAACCGGUAACUGGGGCU